AUUGAACGCUGGCGGCAGGCCUAACACAUGCAAGUCGAGCGGAUGAAGGGAGCUUGCUCUCUGAUUCAGCGGCGGACGGGUGAGUAAUGCCUAGGAAUCUGCCUGGUAGUGGGGGACAACGUUUCGAAAGGAACGCUAAUACCGCAUACGUCCUACGGGAGAAAGCAGGGGACCUUCGGGCCUUGCGCUACCAGAUGAGCCUAGGUCGGAUUAGCUAGUUGGUGAGGUAAUGGCUCACCAAGGCGACGAUCCGUAACUGGUCUGAGAGGAUGAUCAGUCACACUGGAACUGAGACACGGUCCAGACUCCUACGGGAGGCAGCAGUGGGGAAUAUUGGACAAUGGGCGAAAGCCUGAUCCAGCCAUGCCGCGUGUGUGAAGAAGGUCUUCGGAUUGUAAAGCACUUUAAGUUGGGAGGAAGGGUUGCUGAUUAAUACUCUGCAAUUUUGACGUUACCGACAGAAUAAGCACCGGCUAACUCUGUGCCAGCCGCCGCUGUAAUAC
rnacentral:rRNA from 1 species